rnacentral:rRNA from 1 species
GAUGAACGCUGGCGGCGUGCCUAAUACAUGCAAGUCGAGCGAACAGACGAGGAGCUUGCUCCUCUGACGUUAGCGGCGGACGGGUGAGUAACACGUGGAUAACCUACCUAUAAGACUGGUAUAACUUCGGGAAACCGGAGCUAAUACCGGAUAAUCUAUUGAUCCGCAUGGUUCAAUAGUGAAAGUCGGUUUUUCUGUCACUUAUAGAUGGAUCUGCGCCGCAUUAGCUAGUUGGUAAGGUAACGGGUUACCAAGGCAACGAUGCGUAGCCGACGGGAGGGGGUGAUAGGCCACACUGGAACUGAACCACGGUCCAGGGGCCUACGGGAGGCAGCAGUAGCGAAUCUUCCGCAAUGGGGGAAAGCAUGACGGAGCAACGCGGAGUGAGUGGUGAAGGUCUUCGGAGCGUAAAACUGUGUUAUGAGGGAAGAACAAAUGUGUAAGUAACUAUGCACGUCGUGACGGUAACUGAUCAGAAAGCCACGGCUAACUACGUG